rnacentral:rRNA from 1 species
GGAGGUUAGUGCAAUGGCAUAAGCCAGCUUGACUGCGAGCGUGACGGCGCGAGCAGGUGCGAAAGCAGGUCAUAGUGAUCCGGUGGUUCUGAAUGGAAGGGCCAUCGCUCAACGGAUAAAAGGUACUCCGGGGAUAACAGGCUGAUACCGCCCAAGAGUUCAUAUCGACGGCGGUGUUUGGCACCUCGAUGUCGGCUCAUCACAUCCUGGGGCUGAAGUAGGUCCCAAGGGUAUGGCUGUUCGCCAUUUAAAGUGGUACGCGAGCUGGGUUUAGAACGUCGUGAGACAGUUCGGUCCCUAUCUGCCGUGGGCGCUGGAGAACUGAGGGGGGCUGCUCCUAGUACGAGAGGACCGGAGUGGACGCAUCACUGGUGUUCGGGUUGUCAUGCCAAUGGCACUGCCCGGUAGCUAAAUGCGGAAGAGAUAAGUGCUGAAAGCAUCUAAGCACGAAACUUGCC